rnacentral:rRNA from 1 species
UACGUAGGGGGCUAGCGUUGUCCGGAAUCAUUGGGCGUAAAGAGCGCGUAGGCGGCCCGGUAAGUCCGCUGUGAAAGUCCAGGGCUCAACCCUGGAAUGCCAGUGGAAACUGUCGGGCUAGAGUACGGAAGAGGCGAGUGGAAUUCCUGGUGUAGCGGUGGAAUGCGCAGAUAUCAGGAGGAACACCAAUAGCGAAGGCAGCUCGCUGGGACGUUACUGACACUGAGGCGCGAAAGCGUGGGGAGCAAACAGG